GAAUUUUUCACAAUGGGCGAAAGCCUGAUGGAGCGACGCCGCGUGGGGGAUGAAUGGCUUCGGCCCGUAAACCCCUGUCAUUCGCGAGCAAACGUUAUUAUUUAAAAGAUAAUAGCCUGAUAGUAGCGAAAGAGGAAGGGACGGCUAACUCUGUGCCAGCAGCCGCGGUAAUACAGAGGUCCCAAGCGUUGUUCGGAUUUACUGGGCGUAAAGGGUGCGUAGGUGGUGGGGUAAGUCGGAUGUGAAAUCUCCGAGCUCAACUCGGAAAGUGCAUUGGAAACUGCCCUGCUCGAGGGUUGGAGGGGGGACUGGAAUACUUGGUGUAGCAGUGAAAUGCGUAGAUAUCAAGUGGAACACCAGUGGCGAAGGCGAGUCCCUGGACAACUACUGACACUGAGGCACGAAAGCUAGGGGAGCAAACAG
rnacentral:rRNA from 1 species